GCUGUCGCAAAAUCGGCAGCCGGGCGUAGGAACCCGUGUUUAACUAUGGCGACACCGGACGCGCCUUGCGUCUUUUUU
rnacentral:sRNA from 3 species